rnacentral:tRNA from 1 species
GGAGGAGGGACCGGACGGUAAGGUAGCGGUUUGCUAAACCGUACACGAGCUUAAAACCCGUGAGUGGGUUCGACUCCCACCUCCUCCGCCA